GAUGAAGAACGCAGCGAAAUGCGAUAACUAAUGUGAAUUGCAGAAUUCCGUGAAUCAUUGAGUCUUUGAACGCACAUUGCACCCUCUGGUAUUCCGAGGGGCAUGCCUGUUCGAGCGUCAUUAUAACCCCUCAAGCUCAGCUUGGUGUUGGGGCCUGCUGCACUGGCAGCCCUUAAAAUUAGUGGCGGCGCCAUCUGGCUCUAAGCGUAGUAAUUCUUCUCGCUAUGGAGUCCUGGUGGAUGCUUGCCAUCAACCCCCAAUUUUUCUAUGGUUGACCUCGGAUCAGGUAGGGAUACCCGCUGAACUUAAGCAUAUCAAUAAGCGGAGGA
rnacentral:misc_RNA from 1 species